rnacentral:rRNA from 1 species
AGGGUGAGAUGUGAUGCCGAGCCGUUUUAGGUGAAGUGAGUGAUCCCAUGCUGCCGAGAAAAGCCUCUAGCGAGUGUACCGGCGGCCCGUACCCUAAACCGACUCAGGUGGUCAGGUAGAGAAUACCAAGGCGAUCGGGUGAACUGUGGUUAAGGAACUCGGCAAAUUGCCCCCGUAACUUUGGGAGAAGGGGGACCAUGCUUGGUGAACGCCCUUGCGGUGGGAGCUGGGUGUGGUCGCAGAGGCCAGGGGGAAGCGACUGUUUACUAAAAACACAGGUCCGUGCGAAGUCGUAAGACGCUGUAUACGGACUGACGCCUGCCCGGUGCCGGAACGUUAAGAGGACCGGUUAGACUUUCGGGUCGAAGCUGAGAAUCUAAGCGCCGGUAAACGGCGGUGGUAACUAUAACCAUCCUAAGGUAGCGAAAUUCCUUGUCGGGUAAGUUCCGACCUGCACGAAUGGCGUAACGACUUCCCCGCUGUCUCAACCACAGGCCCGGUGAAAUUGCAGUACGAGUAAAGAUGCUCGUUUCGCGCAGCAGGACGGAAAGACCCCGGGACCUUCACUACAGCUUGGCAUUGGCGUUUGGAACGGUUUGUGUAGGAUAGGUGGGAGACUGUGAAGCCCGCACGCCAGUGUGGGUGGAGUCAUUGGUGAAAUACCACUCUGGUCGUUUUGAGCGUCUAACCCGCGCCCGUGUAUCCGGGUGGGGGACAGUGCCUGGUGGGUAGUUUAACUGGGGCGGUUGCCUCCCAAAGAGUAACGGAGGCGCCCAAAGGUUCCCUCAGCCUGGUUGGCAAUCAGGUGGCGAGUGCAAGGGCACAAGGGAGCUUGACUGUGAGACGGACGUGUCGAGCAGGUGCGAAAGCAGGGCCUAGUGAUCCGGCACCUACGUGUGGAAGUGGUGUCGCUCAACGGCUAAAAGGUACCCCGGGGAUAACAGGCUGAUCUUCCCCAAGAGUCCAUAUCGACGGGAUGGUUUGGCACCUCGAUGUCGGCUCGUCGCAUCCUGGGGCUGGAGUAGGUCCCAAGGGUUGGGCUGUUCGCCCAUUAAAGCGGCACGCGAGCUGGGUUUAGAACGUCGCGAGACAGUUCGGUCCCUAUCCGCUGCGCGCGUAGGAGAAUUGAGAGGGUCUGUCCCUAGUACGAGAGGACCGGGACGGACGAACCUCUGGUGUGCCAGUUGUCCCGCCAGGGGCACGGCUGGUUGGCUACGUUCGGUCGGGAUAACCGCUGAAAGCAUCUAAGCGGGAAGCCUUCCUCGAGAUGAGUUCUCCCUCCCCAUUUCGGUGGGGGUAAGGCUCCCAAUAGACGAUUGGGUUGAUAGGCCGGGUAUGGAAGCACGGUAACGUGUGGAGUUGACCGGUACUAAUAGGCCGAGUGGCUUGAACAC